rnacentral:piRNA from 1 species
UUAAUUCUCCGAGAAUUCAAC